GAUGAACGCUGACAGAAUGCUUAACACAUGCAAGUCUUUUGCGAAGCUGUGCUUGCACAGCCUAGCCAAGGCGGACGGGUGAGUAACGCGUAAGGAACUUGCCCUGCAGUCAGGGAUAACAGACGGAAACGACUGAUAAGACCUGUUAAAGUCAGUCGGACUCAUUUCCAGCCUUAUGAAAAGAGAUGCUGCAGGAGAGCCUUGCGUCCUAUUAGCUUGUUGUUGGGGUAACGGCCCAACAAGGCGAUGAUAGGUAGCCGGCCUGAGAGGGUGGACGGCCACAAGGGGACUGAGAUACGGACCUUACUCCUACGGGAGGCAGCAGUGGGGAAUAUUGGACAAUGGGGGCAAACCUGAUCCAGCAAUUCUGUGUGCACGAUGAAGGUUUUCGGAUUGUAAAGUGCUUUCAGCAGGGAAGAAAAAAAUGACGGUACCUGCAGAAGAAGCGACGGCUAAAUACGUG
rnacentral:rRNA from 1 species